rnacentral:rRNA from 1 species
GUCUAUGGCCAUACCACCCUGAACAUGCCUGAUCUCGUCUAAUCUCAGAAGCUAAGCAGGGUCAGGCCUGGUUAGUACUUGGACGGGAGAUAAUUUUUUAAAAAAUAAGAGAAGACA